GCACCCGCGGUAAUUCCGCUCCAAUAGCGUAUAUUAAAGUUGUUGCAGUUAAAAAGCUCGUAGUUGGAUUUCUGGGAGAGUGUCGAUGUCCGCUUAACGCGUGUGCAGCGGCGCUCUUCCAUCCUUCUGUUAGCGUCUCUUGGCAUUCAUUUGCUGGUGGCGGGCUCAGAUAUUUUACCUUGAGAAGAUUAGAGUGUUUCAGGCAGGCUAGGCCGGAAUACAUUAGCAUGGAAUAAUGGAAUAGGACUACGGUCUCUUUGCUGGUUUGAGGGACUGCAGUAAUGAUUAAUAGGGAUAGUUGGGGGCAUUAGUAUUUAAUUGUCAGAGGUGGAAUUCUCAGAUUUGUUAAAGACUAACCUAUGCGAAAGCAUUUGCCAAGGAUGUUUUCAUUGAUCAAGAACGAAAGU
rnacentral:rRNA from 1 species